CCGUGGUUGAAGCUCAAGCUAUGAUUUCUGGUGAACAGAAGGAGGCUGAACGAUUGAGCCCCAUUGCUGAGGUUUCAGAGGAGAAAAGCUGUUCAGAAACUCGGAAGAGAAAGAAUAUUGUCGAUCUUGAAUUUGAUGUUGCUGGUAUCACAAAUUUGUCUCCAAGACAAAGGCUUUCUGACAUUUCAGAUGUUCAUUGCAGCGAGUCACCUCUUACGACUUGCUAAAGAGGGAGCGAGUAACUUUUGUUGUCAAUUCAAUUGUCAACUUGGAAAACUCUUUUUGGUCAAAAUUAUUAUUGUUUUAUGGCAGGGAAUGUUAUAAUGAUUUUAGGAGGCUCUUUUAGAGAGACUAUUAUGUUAUGAGUGUGGUAUACAGUAUAUUUCAACUCUGAAAUAUGUCCGCAUAAUUAAGGAUCCACUUCACAGACCUUAUAGUUGUGUCAUUGUAGAAUCCAGUAAAGUAACCUUGGUUUGUGCUUCUACUAUUAUGCAUAUUUUUCCCAGCAUUUUUUAUACCUUGCAAUGUUUGCAAAAUCAACAAAUUGUAAAUCUGUAUUCGAAUAUGUAAUUAAUCUCUGAAACAUAAACAUGAUUUGUCCUUGUUGUAAAAUCUGCAAAUCCAGCUAAUUGGAGAACUAGCAAUGGAAUAGCCAUUCAAGAAUGACACCAACAUCGUCUGACCAAACAAAUGAAGGUCCAUUAUGAUUCAAGGUUCCAAAAUGUUAUUGGAGUAUUGGUUGAUCUUAUGAUGGGAAGGGUGGAUCGGUGAUUUGGUAACAUGUUCGGUGAAUGGGUGUAUAUGGAGGUCCUGUUCCUCUGCCUACAUAAUCACCAUCCUAACUAUCCAUAACAACUUAAUCUACAUUUGAUUCCAAAUUACCUCAUUGAAAGCAUUCUCCAGGAAUUUACUAGAUCAAAAUUAACAACCAAAUAAUAAUAAGGUAGCAUUAUUUCCAAAAGCUUAAUCUAACAUUUUUGCUCUAUGAAUUCUUCUGUCAAAUAUAAACUGUGAAUGCAGAAGGUGCCAUGGAACAAAAGUUGGAAUCCACUAUGGACUAACCUUCUUCUCCGGGGCCAGGCCAAUAAGAGAGGAAUGUGCUGGUGAUUCACCAGCCCUGUCUGAAAUUGUACACCAGUGCUGUUGCCUGUUCUGCUGCUGCAGUGGUGAUUCAUUACCUGCUGCUGCAGUGGUGAUUCAUUACCUGCAGCUGCAUUAUACACAUAGAGAGCGAUUUUCUAAUGUGUCCAAUGUCACAUGUUAAGAACACACUCAAUUGAAUAAGUUUUCAUUAGAAAACUGAAUCAGUGAUAUUAUAUAUCAUUUAAUAUAUAAUAUAAACAAACUAUUGCCUCUUAUGCACUAUAUGUGGAAGGCUAUAAAUUAUGAAGUAAUAUUUAAUAAACUAUUUCCUCUUUUGCACAUUGUAUGAUAGGCUAUAAUAUAUAUCAUUGGCAACUUCAUAAUAUCUGCGCAUACUUUGUGUAAAGGCUAUAACCCGCUCAUGUGCUAAUGUUUUUGGUCCUGCAUAAAAGAUGAUUUGUGUUAUGGUCAUCUGAGAAUUUCCUGUGAAGGGUGUUCAUGUUUGAUGUUCCUUUGAAUUGUGUGCUAUUUGUCAGGUGUGUCGAUAUAUGGAUUAUCUGAUUGUGAAUAUCUUCUAUAAACCUUCUAUAAAUUCUAGACUUAGAUGGCACCUUCUAUGAAGGGUUUAUCUAGAAAAGAAGUGUUUUACUGAUGAAUGGACAAUUACUCCUAGGCGUUUAAUGCUCUCUGAAUAUACUGCUUUUGCCUACCUUUGAGGGUCUACAAUAAUUAAUUCGAACUUUAAGCACAACCUGCAAAUAUUCAAUUAUAUGAUGAACAUGUCUACUUGCACCUUUGAAAAUUCUGAUAUCUUUUUAUAUGUAACACUUGCUUCUAUUUUUUCUGUGCUAAUUUUAGUAGUAUAAAUAUUGAACAUAUUUCUUAUGCAUGACACUUUAUCUACCAAAACUGAGAAGUGAUAACUUUCUUUAUCAUCUAAUAGGUACUGAGUUUCGCUUACUAUGUAAGUGUUGGGAAUUCCUUAUUAUUGGUGAAAUACCAAUCCUAAGAUCUUGAAUAUCAUAAUUCUCACAUACAUAUAUUAACAAAGGAUGCAAUGUCAUACCUGAAUCCAUGUUCUACGUUUCUGAAAGAGGUUUUGUGGUCUGAUUCCUCUUGAGACUUGCGUUUUCACUCUGAUGGGGAGAUGAGAAAACUGAAUUUGAUUUGAUGUGUUGGGAACCAUAACUUUCCUUAUGUUAACUUAUAGGGUUCCCAUUAUUCCAUAUGGGUUAACCUGAUGGGUAUCCACCAUUAAACCCAUAUCAUUUAUCAGCUUUUAGAAAUAUAAGGGAACCAGUAAUU
rnacentral:lncRNA from 1 species